CAUGCAUAAAAACAAAGGGCAAGCCUAGAACUUGGAUUAUUAGCCACUUUUUCUCUUGGAUGUCUUCAUGAAACUUCAAGCUUAUGGUCUUGUAAACAUAUCCAUAGGUGUAGUUGUUUGAGAGAAGCCUUUUACGUUGAGUUUUUUGCCUCCUUGUCAUGCAAACGACUUUCUGCCUAAGGGGGUUUAAUGGUGUUUCAUCCAUUGUUGAAGAUUGGAAAGUGUUGAGGAGGUGUGAAGGAGACUAAAUAAGGUCUUCAAAUGCUUGUUUUCCUCCUUGAAAAGCCAGCGACCUGCACUUGAAAAGGAAGCAAAGAGGGGCUGUUUUCUGAGUUUUAAAGUUGGAAGACAAUCUCUAAGCCAAUUGGAGUUUAAUGGUGGUUGCCUCCCACGGACAUGAUGCUUGAGGAUUGAGCUUGGUGGACUGCCUUUGGUCCUUGACCAAAAGGAUUUGGGCAUUUCUGAGUGGACGAAGUUACAGUAAAACUUGCGUGGAGCUACCUUGCUUGGGAGCUUCAAUAAGGGUUUGUGAUCGACAAUGCUGUUUGCUCCACAGCGACUAUAGUCAAGGUUGAUAGCGCUAGAAAGCAUGGGAUUCUUUUGGAUGUUGAAUAAGUGCUGAUUGAUGGCAGGUGGUUCAUGGAUGGUAAGCUAAUUUUCCUUUUUAUUUCUUUUCAGGAAUAUUCUUUGAUUCUGUGUGCAUUAAACUUGCUAUUUUAUACGCAGUUUUCCAUGUUAUAUAUCAAAACGGAAACAAGCUAACAGAUGAAAGCGUUUUAAGAUAUAUUGAACAGGUAGUGAUUGUGGCUUUAGAAGUUGCAAUUUAAUUUACAAUACCUUACUGGUUAAAGGAGAUUAUGAUAUGGAGUUAUAUGGGCAGCCUCAAUUUCUAACCAUGCUAGUUGUGCAACAGUAAGAAGUCCUUGUUGCAAGUAUUUAUGUCCAAUAAGAUUUAUACCAAACAAUAUUGAUGAUGAUAUUCAUCAAACUAUUUUUUCUAUGAAAUUCUAGAUAAAUGGAAGUUAUAUUCAUCAUAGAAUGAUGCCAAAAUCUGUUUAUUUGUUUUUCCCUUUCAUGUCAAUUAUUUACAUGUGCUAUUUUUUUAAGAAAAAAAUCUAAAUCAAUGAAAGUAGAGAUUCAUCAUACAAUAUGACAAUUGUUGGCAAAAUUAAGCGUUCCUCUUGUUUGAUUAGUGGUUGUGUUGUCUACUUUUUAGGGGUUGUUGUUCAAACUUUUCAUUUCUCUAUGAUGGAUCACUCUAUAACAACUACUGAAGACAUUGAUAUGAAUGGAAGUUUAGUAUGUUAUGAUGACAUUGUUGAUCUAGAGAAAGACAACGAUGGAUUUGGAGAAGAUUAUAAGUGUGAAAUCAUAAAAGAAGAAGAUGGUGGCCGCGAGAAGAUAAUGUACAUGAAAUUAUGGUAGAUGAUGAUAGUGAAAUCAUGAAACAAGAAGAUGAUGACCACGGGGAGGAUAAUAUACAUGAAAUUGUUGUAGAUGAUGAUGAUGAAUUUAGUGAGACUCCAAUUUUAUGUAGAGUACAAGAACACAAGAACCAUAUAGGUGAAAUACGUAAGCAAUAUUGUAACAAGAGUACAAGAACACAAGAACCAUAUAGUUGGAAAUUUUUGCAUACAUGCUCUCUAUAAGGGUAGCAACAACAAUAUCUAAUAGUAUCCCUAACUGUAAAGCAAUAUUAUGAACUUCCUUUCCUUUCUCUAGGUCUCUCAUAUCUAUAGCAGCCAAAAGGGCAUUUACAACUGAUACCUUAUUCAUAUUAACAUUCUUCUGCUUCAUUUUAACAUGUUAAACAAUCCUAAUAGAUCUAAAUUAUGUGAAGCAAUCUUUGAGCUCAGACCGGUCUAUUGUUUGAGUUUAAAUUAAUGACUGUUGGCUAGUUUAUGUUGCACUGCCUUUGCUAAUAUACAUGCUGUUAAAUCCUCAUUGAGUACCAAAAAAUAAAAUCAAAACUAAUGGAACAGAACAAUAGAAGAGUGUCUGCUUUUUAAGAUGAUGGAGAAGUGAGAAACUCGGAUUUGGAUUUAGUGCCUCCUACAUAAGCUUUCUCCAAAGCCAAUCCAAUCCGUUCAUACAUAAUCCUGUAGAUUAAUAUGUCAAUAUAUGUAACAUAAGAAUUAUAUAAUCAUUAGACUAUUAGAGGGUGGAUGGAUUUGAUGAUCUUUAAAUGAUGUUUUUUCCAUCUCCGAGACAUUAAAAGCUCUGUCUAUAUAAGUUGUCGUUCUUGCAAACCAUAUUUGUAGAGAAAUCUAAUUAACAAGAAAUCGUUGCUAAUCAGAGAUUUCUUCCAUCAUGACCCUUCAACCGAAACUAGCAAAGGCAUAGCAAGCACAACAAACUUAUGCAAAAAUAAAUAAGGGAAUAAAUCGUUAUUUCUCAUUAAUCUAUCCACAAAAAUGGACAAACAGAAUAGGGUCCAAAACAUUGAAAUAUCCUAUUUCUCUAUUUCUCAUUAAUUAAUCUCUAUUUCUCAUAUUUACAACUGACACGCUCCAUCAGCAUGGUCCAAAACAUUCUCAGUGCUUCACAAGGAUUUGAGCUUUGAGGUAAGCCUAAAAUCCAUGCAGCAAUAUCCUUCUUGGGCAUCUUAUCAAAUAUCUUUUGUGCACUAUCUAGGUGACCCAUUUUACAGGACAUGUCAAUGAGACCAGUCCCAAUAAAGGUAUCACAUUCUAACUCCCUCCAAGCUAUAUCUUGGUGAAUGGCAACACCCUCAUCAUGGAAAUUUUAAGCACCAGUACAAGCCUUUAUAACAAAGAAUCAGAGAUGGGUUAGUGAUAGAAUUGAACGUCGAUUGAGCCAAGUUGCAUUGGUGGAAGAAAGAGUAUGAAUUGAUGAGAUGGACAGUGAUGGAAUGGUGAUGUUGUUAGAGUCCCGAGACAAGCAAACAGGAAUGAAUUUGAAGCAGAGCAUUUAAGAGUUUGCAUGAACGAAGAAGGUGAAGGUAAUAGCUGUGGUGGUGGUGGUAAUGUUGUGGAAUGUUGUUGGUGGAUGAAGAUGGAGUUUGAGAAAUUGCAGAGGCAUGAGCAAUGAAAGUGAAUGUGGUGGAACCUAUGGUUGUGAAGUGAAUGUCUUGCUUUCAUGCGUCCCUUUCAAGACACAAUGAAAGUGACGAUAUGUUAAUAUUCUGACAAUCAAUGGAAGGUUACAGACGUGGCUUGAUGAUGGUGUGCGAUUUAGCAGCGAAACUCCGACACAAUGACUGGUUGGAGGGAAGAAGAUGUUUUGCAACAAAAGAGGGGAAAAUAAAAUCAAAAACCAAAGAGGAAAAAAGAAGAAGGAAGAAAUGAUGUCGUUUCCCCCUUGCUGCAGUUUGUCUUUUCUGCCUCAAAAGCAAGCAGAUGUAUUAAUCCCUAUAGCAAACUGAUUAUGAGAUUAUUAUUUUUGUGUUUCGAUUUUCUAGGUGCGCUAUUUUUCUCACUUUGUAGACAUAUUUUAUGUGGAGUUCAUAUCUAUUAAAAAAUAAAAAAAAUAUUGUACGAAAAUGGAAGGAUAGUAGAAAAAAAAAAUCUCCUACA